GGAGUGGGAGGUGGAGGGCCUGGCGGAGUUAGUUGAGAAGGGGAAGGAAGGUUAAGUUGGAGAUCAGAGAGGAGUGCGAGGGAAGUAAGGCAGUGAAGAGUAAAAAGCUGCAGACCCUUGCUGAGUUAGUUGAGAAGGGAAGGAAGGUUAUGUUAGAAGUCAGAGAGGAGUGGGAGGUAUACAGGACCUGGCGGAGUUAGUUGAAAAGGGAAGGAAGGUGAAGUCGGGAGUUAGAGAAGAGUGCGAGGGAAGUAAAGUGAGGAAGAGUAAAAAGCUGCAGACCUUUGCUGAGUUUGUUGAGAGGGGAAGGAAUGAUUGCAUGGGAAGGAGGAGGUAUACAGACCCUUGUUGAGUUAGUUGAGAGGGGAAGGAAUGAUUGCAUGGGAAGGAGGAGGUAUACAGACCCUUGCUGAGUUAGUUGAGAGGGGAAGGAAUGAUUGCAUGGGAAGGAGGGGGUAUACAGACCCUUGCUGAGUUAGUUGAGAGGGGAAGGAAUGAUUGCAUGGGAAGGAGGGGGUAUACAGACCCUUGCUGAGUUAGUUGAGAGGGGAAGGAAUGAUUGCAUGGGAAGGAGGGGGUAUACAGACCCUUGCUGAGUUAGUUGAGAGGGGGAA